CAGAUACAGAUGACAUUAAAAAAAAUUAGCUGCAAGGGAGGAGAUGAAAAAAUGGGUUGUUGCCCGGCUCUUGACAGGAGAUGAAAAAAAUAGGUUGUUGAUGAGCCACCACCCUUUCACAUGUGGGUAGAACAUAAGGUCAUGUGGCAGUAAGAGGCUGAAAAGUCAAAAGAAGGCUGCCUCUCCUUUCUUCCUUCAUGGCUAAGGCUGCUGCUGGUCCAGAAGAACAUUUUGACACCCCACCCCCUUUUUUCCUUUUAAAAAGUAGGGGAUGUGGGUUUGUAAAAAAAAAAUAUAUAUAUGUAUAUGUAGAGAGAGAAAUAUCCCGUUGACCAUUUUUAGAAGGCUCCAGAUUGGGUAUUGUGUUUUAACCAAAUUUUAAAGAUUACCAGGGGAAUUGUGGGAGGGUCAAAGACUUGUUACAACUAUGCAGAUUUUAUAAAUG
rnacentral:lncRNA from 1 species